UAGGGAAUCUUCCGCAAUGGGCGAAAGCCUGACGGAGCAACGCCGCGUGAGUGAUGAAGGUCUUCGGAUCGUAAAACUCUGUUAUUAGGGAAGAAUAAAUGUGUAAGUAACUAUGCACGUCUUGACGGUAUCUAACCAGAAAGCCACGGCUAACUACGUGCCAGCAGCCGCGGUAAUACGUAGGUGGCAAGCGUUGUCCGGAUUUAUUGGGCGUAAAGCGAGCGCAGGCGGUCAAUUAAGUCUGAUGUGAAAGCCCCCGGCUCAACCGGGGAGGGUCAUUGGAAACUGGUUGACUUGAGUGCAGAAGAGGAGAGUGGAAUUCCAUGUGUAGCGGUGAAAUGCGUAGAUAUAUGGAGGAACACCAGUGGCGAAGGCGACUCUCUGGUCUGUAACUGACGCUGAGGUUCGAAAGCGUGGGUAGCAAACAGG
rnacentral:rRNA from 1 species